UACAGGCUUAACACAUGCAAGUCGAGGGGCAGCAUUUCAGUUUGCUUGCAAACUGGAGAUGGCGACCGGCGCACGGGUGAGUAACACGUAUCCAACCUGCCGAUAACUCGGGGAUAGCCUUUCGAAAGAAAGAUUAAUACCCGAUGGCAUAAUAGAACCGCAUGGUUUGAUUAUUAAAGAAUUUCGGUUAUCGAUGGGGAUGCGUUCCAUUAGGCAGUUGGUGGGGUAACGGCCCACCAAACCUUCGAUGGAUAGGGGUUCUGAGAGGAAGGUCCCCCACAUUGGAACUGAGACACGGUCCAAACUCCUACGGGAGGCAGCAGUGAGGAAUAUUGGUCAAUGGACGAGAGUCUGAACCAGCCAAGUAGCGUGAAGGAUGACUGCCCUAUGGGUUGUAAACUUCUUUUAUAUGGGAAUAAAGUGGUCCACGUGUGGAUUUUUGUAUGUACCAUAUGAAUAAGGAUCGGCUAACUCCGUGCCAGCAGCCGCGGUAAUACGGAGGAUCCGAGCGUUAUCCGGAUUUAUUGGGUUUAAAGGGAGCGUAGGUGGACAGUUAAGUCAGUUGUGAAAGUUUGCGGCUCAACCGUAAAAUUGCAGUUGAUACUGGCUGUCUUGAGUACAGUAGAGGUGGGCGGAAUUCGUGGUGUAGCGGUGAAAUGCUUAGAUAUCACGAAGAACUCCGAUUG
rnacentral:rRNA from 1 species